GACGAACGCUGGCGGCGUGCCUAAUACAUGCAAGUUGAGCGCUGACGGUUGGUACUUGUACCGACUGGAUGAGCAGCGCACGGGUGAGUAACGCGUGGGGAAUCUGCCUUUGAGCGGGGGACAACAUUUGGACACGAAUGCUAAUACCGCAUAAAAACUUUAAACACAAGUUUUAAGUUUGAAAUAUGCAAUUGCAUCACUCAAAGAUGAUCCCGCGUUGUAUUAGCUAGUUGGUGGGGUAAAGGCUCACCAAGGCGAUGAUACAUAGCCGACCUGAGAGGGUGAACCGCCAAAUUGGGACUGAGAAAACGGCCAAAACCCGACGGGAGGGAGCAGGAGGGAAUUUUUGGAAAUGGACGAAAGUCCGAACGAGGAAAGGCGGGGGAGGGAAGAAGGGUUUCGGAUUGUAAAAGUAUGUUGGUAGAGAAGAAAGUUGGUGAGAGUGGAAAGGUCAGGAAGUGACGGUACCGAAAGAGAAAGGGACGGCUAACUACGUG
rnacentral:rRNA from 1 species